GGUCUUUGUUCGAUCGGUUUGUUCAAAUGCCGAAGGAAUACUAUGUUGUUUUCAAUGGCCGUAAUAUCGGCAUAUACGAUAGUUGGCCUCAAACUGAAGUUCAAGUAAGUAGUUUUAGUAAUGCUAAUUACAAAAGAUAUAACAAUUGGGAAGCCACAAAAUAGGUGUACUUGAAAUUUUUCAAUAUGAAGGAGUUGCCAACGACAAUUCAUUUGCCUACACGAUUUUGUCCUAAUAAUGAAUAUGUGAAGCAGGAUGAUACUUGUCCCAGUGGAUGUAGCCGUAUAAUUAGAGAUCUGAAAAUGGAGUUGGAACAAACCCAAAGGGAGCUGGAACAUAACCAAUGUUCGCAUUGAUUGACCAUACAAGAAUUGGAACAUACCCAAGGUUCGCUUCGAUUGACUGUAUAGGAGCUACUGAAUGAAAGUGAGGUGAAUGACAACUUUCGAGAUAUGAUUGGUGGCUUCAAGAAUGUCAACAUCAAUUAGA